rnacentral:rRNA from 1 species
UACGGAGGGUGCGAGCGUUGUCCGGAAUCACUGGGCGUAAAGGGCGCGUAGGCGGCCUGAUAAGUAGGGGUGAAAUCCUGCGGCUUAACCGCAGGGCUGCCUUCUAAACUGUCAGGCUAGAGCACAGUAGAGGCAGGUGGAAUUCCCGGUGUAGCGGUGGAAUGCGUAGAGAUCGGGAAGAACAUCAGUGGCGAAGGCGGCCUGCUGGGC